CGAACGNUANNAGGGAGCUUGCUCCGCUGACGAGUGGCGAACGGGUGAGUAAUAUAUCGGAACGUACCCAAGAGUGGGGGAUAACGUAGCGAAAGUUACGCUAAUACCGCAUACGAUCUAUGGAUGAAAGCAGGGGACCUUCGGGCCUUGUGCUCCUGGAGCNNGCCGAUAUCUGAUUAGCUAGUUGGUGAGGUAAAGGCUCACCAAGGCGACGAUCAGUAGCUGGUCUGAGAGGACGACCAGCCACACUGGAACUGAGACACGGUCCAGACUCCUACGGGAGGCAGCAGUGGGGAAUUUUGGACAAUGGGCGCAAGCCUGAUCCAGCAAUGCCGCGUGAGUGAAGAAGGCNUUCGGGUUGUAAAGCUCUUUUGUCAGGGAAGAAACGGCUGUGGCUAAUAUCCACGGCUAAUGACGGUACCUGAAGAAUAAGCACCGGCUAACUACGUGCCAGCAGCCGCGGUAAUACGUAGGGUGCAACCGUUAAUCGGAAUUACUGGGCGUAAAGCGUGCGCAGGCGGUUUUGUAAGUCUGUCGUGAAAUCCCCGGGCUCAACCUGGGAAUUGCGAUGGAGACUGCAAGGCUAGAAUCUGGCAGAGGGGGGUAGAAUUCCACGUGUAGCAGUGAAAUGCGUAGAGAUGUGGAGGAACACCGAUGGCGAAGGCAGCCCCCUGGGUCAAGAUUGACGCUCAUGCACGAAAGCGUGGGGAGCAAACAGGAUUAGAUACCCUGGUAGUCCACGCCCUAAACGAUGUCUACUAGUUGUCGGGUUUUAAUUAACUUGGUAACGCAGCUAACGCGUGAAGUAGACCGCCUGGGGAGUACGGUCGCAAGAUUAAAACUCAAAGGAAUUGACGGGGACCCGCACAAGCGGUGGNNGAUGUGGAUUAAUUCGAUGCAACGCGAAAAACCUUACCUACCCUUGACAUGUCAGGAAGGCCGGAGAGA
rnacentral:rRNA from 1 species